GACGAACGCUGGCGGCGUGCCUAAUACAUGCAAGUUGAGCGAUGAAGAUUGGUGCUUGCACCAAUUUGAAGAGCAGCGAACGGGUGAGUAACGCGUGGGGAAUCUGCCUUUGAGCGGGGGACAACAUUUGGAAACGAAUGCUAAUACCGCAUAACAACUUUAAACAUAAGUUUUAAGUUUGAAAGAUGCAAUUGCAUCACUCAAAGAUGAUCCCGCGUUGUAUUAGCUAGUUGGUGAGGUAAAGGCUCACCAAGGCGAUGAUACAUAGCCGACCUGAGAGGGUGAUCGGCCACAUUGGGACUGAGACACGGCCCAAACUCCUACGGGAGGCAGCAGUAGGGAAUCUUCGGCAAGGGACGAAAGUCUGACCGAGCAACGCCGCGUGAGUGAAGAAGGUUUUCGGAUCGUAAAACUCUGUUGGUAGAGAAGAACGUUGGUGAGAGUGGAAAGCUCAUCAAGUGACGGUAACUACACAGAAAGGGACGGCUAACUACGUG
rnacentral:rRNA from 1 species